rnacentral:lncRNA from 1 species
AAUCCCCCUUUUUCACAAUAGAUUCCUCCCUUAAAUACUCUCUCUCUCUUCUCUUUUAGAAUUCUAUUUAAAAUAAAAUACUAAUAUCUGAAUAUUAAAUUCGUAAUUACAAAAAUAACCAAAAAUACAAAACACGUUAAACUAAAAACUGCAGGUCCGCAGUUGACAGCACGCGCCCACGCCUUAUCAACAAAGUUCUUCUAAGGCUCAUAAUUUCCCCAAGAGAACAAUCCUCCUUAAAC